rnacentral:rRNA from 1 species
UUAAAUUGAAGAGUUUGAUCAUGGCUCAGAUUGAACGCUGGCGGCAGGCCUAACACAUGCAAGUCGAACGGUAACAGGAAGCAGCUUGCUGCUUUGCUGACGAGUGGCGGACGGGUGAGUAAUGUCUGGGAAACUGCCUGAUGGAGGGGGAUAACUACUGGAAACGGUGGCUAAUACCGCAUAACGUCGCAAGACCAAAGAGGGGGACCUUCGGGCCUCUUGCCAUCAGAUGUGCCCAGAUGGGAUUAGCUUGUUGGUGAGGUAACGGCUCACCAAGGCGACGAUCCCUAGCUGGUCUGAGAGGAUGACCAGCCACACUGGAACUGAGACACGGUCCAGACUCCUACGGGAGGCAGCAGUGGGGAAUAUUGCACAAUGGGCGCAAGCCUGAUGCAGCCAUGCCGCGUGUAUGAAGAAGGCCUUCGGGUUGUAAAGUACUUUCAGCGGGGAGGAAGGUGUUGUGGUUAAUAACCGCAGCAAUUGACGUUACCUGCAGAAGAAGCACCGGCUAACUCCGUGCCAGCAGCCGCGGUAAUACGGAGGGUGCAAGCGUUAAUCGGAAUUACUGGGCGUAAAGCGCACGCAGGCGGUCUGUCAAGUCGGAUGUGAAAUCCCCGGGCUCAACCUGGGAACUGCAUUCGAAACUGGCAGGCUUGAGUCUUGUAGAGGGGGGUAGAAUUCCAGGUGUAGCGGUGAAAUGCGUAGAGAUCUGGAGGAAUACCGGUGGCGAAGGCGGCCCCCUGGACAAAGACUGACGCUCAGGUGCGAAAGCGUGGGGAGCAAACAGGAUUAGAUACCCUGGUAGUCCACGCCGUAAACGAUGUCUACUUGGAGGUUGUGCCCUUGAGGCGUGGCUUCCGGAGCUAACGCGUUAAGUAGACCGCCUGGGGAGUACGGCCGCAAGGUUAAAACUCAAAUGAAUUGACGGGGGCCCGCACAAGCGGUGGAGCAUGUGGUUUAAUUCGAUGCAACGCGAAGAACCUUACCUGGUCUUGACAUCCACGGAAGUUUUCAGAGAUGAGAAUGUGCCUUCGGGAACCGUGAGACAGGUGCUGCAUGGCUGUCGUCAGCUCGUGUUGUGAAAUGUUGGGUUAAGUCCCGCAACGAGCGCAACCCUUAUCCUUUGUUGCCAGCGGUCCGGCCGGGAACUCAAAGGAGACUGCCAGUGAUAAACUGGAGGAAGGUGGGGAUGACGUCAAGUCAUCAUGGCCCUUACGACCAGGGCUACACACGUGCUACAAUGGCGCAUACAAAGAGAAGCGACCUCGCGAGAGCAAGCGGACCUCAUAAAGUGCGUCGUAGUCCGGAUUGGAGUCUGCAACUCGACUCCAUGAAGUCGGAAUCGCUAGUAAUCGUGGAUCAGAAUGCCACGGUGAAUACGUUCCCGGGCCUUGUACACACCGCCCGUCACACCAUGGGAGUGGGUUGCAAAAGAAGUAGGUAGCUUAACCUUCGGGAGGGCGCUUACCACUUUGUGAUUCAUGACUGGGGUGAAGUCGUAACAAGGUAACCGUAGGGGAACCUGCGGUUGGAUCACCUCCUUACCUUAAAGAAGC